rnacentral:rRNA from 1 species
UGGGGAAUUUUCCGCAAUGGGCGCAAGCCUGACGGAGCAAUACCGCGUGAAUGAUGAAGGCCUUAGGGUUGUAAAAUUCUUUCGCUAGGGAUGAUAAUGACAGUACCUAGUAAAGAAGCCCCGGCUAACUUCGUGCCAGCAGCCGCGGUAAUACGAAGGGGGCUAGCGUUGUUCGGAAUUACUGGGCGUAAAGCGCACGUAGGCGGACUUUUAAGUCAGAUGUGAAAUCCCGAGGCUCAACCUCGGAACUGCAUUUGAAACUGGGAGUCCAGAGAUCAGGAGAGGUUAGCGGAAUACCGAGUGUAGAGGUGAAAUUCGUAGAUAUUCGGUGGAACACCAGUGGCGAAGGCGGCUAACUGGACUGAUACUGACGCUGAGGUGCGAAAGUGUGGGGAGCAAACAGGAUUAGAUACCCGUGUAGUCC